GCCGACUUAGCUCAUCUGGUAGAGCAAUUCACUAGUAAUGAAUAGGUGACUGGUCCGAGUCCGGUAGUCGGCACCA
rnacentral:tRNA from 1 species